rnacentral:lncRNA from 1 species
UUUGCAAAUAUUUGCCUAUGAAUCAAGAACAACAUUACCUUGGUCCUACUGUUCCUACUACAUUUGCAUUAAAGGAGAAAACGUGUGUGGGCUCUGAGGCCUAUAAAGUCUUCUCGGGGUUAAGGAGUCUCUGAGUCUAAGACCCUUGAAGACCUGAAAUCUUGGGGUGGUGAGAGUAUACAAAAAAUCCUCCCAUUGAUUUGGUAGGGUCAAUAAUGCUCUGUUGGUGCCAGGAGCCUAGCAGCCACUGGGAAAGUGGCAGUAACUUUGCUCACUUGAAAGUAUGUAUUACAUUCCUAAAGACCGCAUCUAUUUUCUGAGGAUGUUAUCUUCCAAUUGGCAACAUAACUGAAUCUCCAGUAAGCCAUUCUACUUUUCAGUUAGGCUAGCUGUUUCAGUGUAAUAAAGUAUUUGGUAAGACCAGUUAAUUCAAUGGGCAUGAACUUAAUGGUGCACUUCCUUUGCUAUGAAAUGAAUUUCUUGACCAAAGGAAUACUAUGAUGGUGAAUAAGGCAUUCUUUGAGACCAUGACUAGUGGUGCUGAUAGGAGCAAUGCAGAUAAGAAAGACAAAUCCAUAUCCAGAAUAUGUAUCUGUUCCAAAAAGAAUAAAUCUCUGUCCUUUCCAUGAUGGAAGAGGUCAAAUAUAAAUCAGCCUGCCAGGAGGUAGCUUACUAGUUCUCCCAGAUAAUGUUGCCGUAUCAGAACUUGGUGUUAAUCUCUGUUCUUGAUGACUGACUUGGCACUUAGCAGUAGCAUUAUCUAAGUCAGUCUUGGUAAGGGGAAGUCCCUAUUGUUGUCCAUGUAUAAUGUCUAUCCCUAUCUAUUCUUGAUGACUAAUUUGGCACUAAGCAGUAGCAUUAACUAAGUCAGCCUUGGUAAGGGGAGGUCCAUAUUGUUGCCCAUAUAUAAUGUCUAUCCCUGCUAACAUGGGUACUUUAUUCAUGGAUUUAUUGAGACCAUGAUCACUGUAGUAGAUGAGGAAAGAGGCUUGCUGACAUUCAUAGACCAUACUACUUUGUGCACUUGAUCAAGAGUACCUUUUGUGGACAUUAGCUAUUAAGUCAUAAAUAGUGAA